GACGAACGCUGGCGGCGUGCUUAACACAUGCAAGUCGAGCGGAAAGGCCCUUUCGGGGGUACUCGAGCGGCGAACGGGUGAGUAACACGUGAGUAAUCUGCCCCAGACUUCGGGAUAGCUUCGGGAAACCGAGAUUAAUACCGGAUAUUCAUGGUGCCGCGCAUGUGGUGUUGUGGAAAGAUUUUUUGGUUUGGGAUGUGCUCGCGGCCUAUCAGCUUGUUGGUGGGGUAAUGGCCUACCAAGGCGUUGACGGGUAGCCGGCCUGAGAGGGCGACCGGCCACACUGGGACUGAGACACGGCCCAGACUCCUACGGGAGGCAGCAGUGGGGAAUAUUGCACAAUGGGCGAAAGCCUGAUGCAGCGACGCCGCGUGAGGGAUGACGGCCUUCGGGUUGUAAACCUCUUUCAGCAGGGACGAAGCGCAAGUGACGGUACCUGCAGAAGAAGCACCGGCCAACUACGUGCCAGCCGCCGUAACAC
rnacentral:rRNA from 1 species